CUACUCUCUUCCUGAACCUCUUUAUGGGUGUUCCCAGUGUCAUUUUCAGCCUUGUUUCCUCUCUCCUGUCUUUCUUAUCUAACACUCCAUUGUUUUUCCUAUACUUCACCAUCUCUUAAAUAUAAGAGGACUUUAGUCUGGAUAAUUUUAACACUUGCGCCAGCUGAGACUUCUCUAUUUGUCUUAAUGGUGAAGAGCUCCAUGAUUUGCUUAAUUGAGGAAUUUACUCUUUGGAAGUGGACAAAAGGAUUAGCUGGUGAAUCUUCCCUGUAUAAGGGAAUCCGGUCCAUCACUGGAUGAGAUAUUAAAAAGACAAAAGAUCUACAAUAUCUUAUGUUUCAGUCGCCUAAAUAGCUCCUCCUUGUUUAAUUUAUUUACUGUUGAUGCAUGCAUUGGAUGAACAAUGAUUGACGUCAUGGUGACAUGUCAAGCCACAAGCAGAUUAGUAUUUGUUAUACCUUAACUGAUCAUUGUAAGAGAGUGCCACAUGGUGUAUUGUAAUGAAUUUG